GCCAGACUCCUACGGGAGGCAGCAGUGGGGAAUAUUGCACAAUGGGGGAAACCCUGAUGCAGCGACGCCGCGUGGGUGAAGAAGUAUUUCGGUAUGUAAAGCCCUAUCGGCAGGGAAGAAAUUGGACGGUACCUGACUAAGAAGCCCUGGCUAACUACGUGCCAGCAGCCGCGGUAAUACGUAGGGGGCAAGCGGUAUCCGGAUUCACUGGGUGUAAAGGGAGCGUAGACGGCCAUGCAAGCCUGGAGUGAAAGCCCGGGGCCCAACCCCGGGACUGCUCUGGAAACUGUAAAGCUGGAGUGCGGGAGGGGCAGGCGGAAUUCCUGGUGUAGCGGUGAAAUGCGUAGAUAUCAGGAGGAACACCGGCGGCGAAGGCGGCCUGCUGGACCGUAACUGACGUUGAGGCUCGAAAGCGUGGGGAGCAAACAGGAUUAGAUACCCCAGUAC
rnacentral:rRNA from 1 species